GAUGAACGCUGGCGGCGUGCUUAACACAUGCAAGUCGAACGAGAACGGAUUAUAGCUUGCUAUAAUUGUCAGCUAAGUGGCGCACGGGCGAGUAAUGUAUAGGUAAUAUGCCUCUUACUAAGGGAUAACAAUUGGAAACGUUUGCUAAUACCUUAUACUCCUUAUUAACAUAAGUUAAUAAGGGAAAGAUUUAUUGGUAAGAGAUUAGCCUGUAUUGUAUCAGUUAGUUGGUGGGGUAAUGGCUUACCAAGACUAUGACACAUAACUGGUUUGAGAGGAUGAUCAGUCACACUGGAACUGAGACACGGUCCAGACUCCUACGGGAGGCAGCAGUGGGGAAUAUUGCACAAUGGACGAAAGUCUGAUGCAGCAACGCCGCGUGGAGGAUGACACAUUUCGGUGCGUAAACUCCUUUUAUAUAAGAAGAUAAUGACGGUAUUAUAUGAAUAAGCACCGGCUAACUCCGUGCCAGCAGCCGCAGUAA
rnacentral:rRNA from 1 species